GGGCCUGUAGCUUAGCUGGUAGAGCGCUUCUAUGGCAUAGAAGAGGUCGUCGGUUCAAAUCCGAUCAGGUCCACCA
rnacentral:tRNA from 1 species